AUGCCUGUAAUGUAAUGUAUAUGUAAUGUCCUGCCUACUUAAAUAUGCAGGUGUGUAAAUAUGCAGUAUGUAUCACAGUUCUAACAGACAAAAUGGUCAUUAUAAUAUUGCUUUGUAUGUGAAUGUGAUAAAAUGUCCACAAUGCUUUCCUAAUAUUUAGUAUUGAAAGAGUAUGGGGAACAGAAUUACAUUUCAAUUAAAGUUGUUGGGGGGGGCUGUGGCUGUGUCCCCCACGUCAGCUACGCCCCUGCCCACGUCAGUUGUUCUGAUUGCUUCGUUUUGCUCAAAAACUUCUACUUCGUACGAAGUAUACUGCCUACUUAAGUGGUUCUGAGACGAAAAAGAAGCAACAGUGCAGAUAGGCCCCAUCACGUGAUCAAGCUGUGAAGCUACCACGGUUGUCUCAUGACCCUGUUACAAAUCUAAUCUAUUUUGUUUUUAACCAAUCAGAGAUCAGUGCGCCUAGUCAAGGAAAACGGAAUUGUGAUAUUUUAUCAUAUUUUUCUCUAUUCUGUUCGGCGUAUAAAGUUUUACGAUCCAGGAAAAAUGUGAAAAUAUUAGUGCGCGCUUCUAAUGAUCACCACAAUGUGAGCGUUUGCCACCUAAUUCGCGCUGGAGCAGGCUAGAUGAAUUUCUACAACGAUCAUAGGAAAUGCAUUGCAGACGCAUCAGUAAUUCUAUUUCUGGGCCGUGGUAGCCAUCUUGCGGUGGUGCCUUGGCGGUGCCACAUGCGGAAGUAGCGAAAUGAACAGGAUUUAAUGGUACCACGUGAUCACGUUUCCCUUCUAGUUCCAGUUCAUUGCUGGCUUCCACAGAAGUUUUUCACAAUUCACAUUGUGUUUGGGCGUUUUCUUGGGGAAAAAGACAACGAUACAGAGCUUUAUCCCGAAGCCAUAAAGAAAUUGACAGUCUGAGGAGGAAACUGCAGCAGGUGGAGAGCGAGCUGAGGACGGCGCGAGAGGCAGCAGCGCGAGAGAGCCGCUCUAUCGGAGUCCAGGUUGAGGACCAGUUUGGAAGAGCAGAAGGAGGUAUGCUUGUAUCAUAUUUUGCCAGUGAAACGUAUAUAUAUAUAUAUAUAUUUAUUUAUAACGUUAUUAAUUGAUUUUACACGUAGGGCUAUUUAUCAAAGGGAAAUUGUUUUGAUGCGUAACGAAAUAAAGGUUAAUUAACAGUGAUACAAAAUUUUAUAAUAAUAUUUGUGCUAGAUUUAAGCUAGGUGCCACCGUGGCUACCCUGAUUCUGAAAAACAAAGUACAUGGGCGUAUUCAGUUCAGCACAGUGAUUGUGAACCGAUUUAAUACUUUCUCGCUGUGACCUGUAAUCUAUUUAAAUUUGCUGAAGCGAAAUCCCAAUGACCAAACAUAACGAAAAGCAGUAUGUGGUGGUGGUUGGUUUUCCAUAGUGAUGCUCAUGUAUCGUGCUACAGCGAAAAAGCAAAGCACACAUUGCAUUGCAUUACAUUGUGUAUUUUGUAAUCAUAAUAAUAAUACACAUACACACACACACCGAAAUACAAUAUGUGGUAUAUAUUGUUUUUAAUUGUGAAAUGCAAUUUUCGUGCAUUUAAAUACAGUGUUCCCCGGAACGUAAUCUGCCUGCACGCUGUAUUUCACUCAGCUAUAAACGCGACCGAAGGGAACGCGAAUAACAAUAACCUAUUUUAAUUUCUUCAACCAGAAUCUUGCCAAAAUAAAAUUUCAUCAGCUGUCCAGUCACGGUGCUGAGUGCCUGUCUGACUUACGAUCAGUUUGCCUUAAAAAAAAAAAAAAAAUCACAUUCGGGCCGUAACCAGAUGCCAGAUCGCUAUAGCUAUGUCAGUCUUGUUUUUGUUAAUGGCUCACCGAGUUAUAGCUACUGUUUUUGCUUUCGAUCUGCACGUGCUGUUUCAUAAUUUUGUAUGUUUGAACCAUGUCCAUAUAACGUUUGCACAUUGAAUUUCGUUUUGGCACGUUUAACCUUCCAUAUUAAUCAUGCUACAGUGAAUGUACAUACAGUACACAUUUAGAGCAUGGAAUUUGUGUUACAGUCCUGGUUUACAAACACUUUCGGACAUUUCAGAUUACGAGAAAAAAGUAAUAAAUAAAUAGAUAUGUCAAUAAAUAUAUUAAUGAAUAAAUGUGAUCAAUAUGUCUACCCAUUACAAUGUGUUUGAAAAUUGGGAUAAACCAGAUUUUCAUAUGUGUAGAAUUGCUUAUAUCAGCAGUGAAUGGCAAAUUAAAAAACUCUUGUGACAAUAAGGACGAUCUGGAUUUUGCGCAUUUCUGUAGGAUAAACUGAUAUCUAAAAAUAGCAUGCAUGAAUCCAAAACAUCUUUUAACUGAUUAAAACACACUUUUCAAUCCAAGACUGUGCUUCUCA